UACGAAGGGGGCUAGCGUUGUUCGGAAUCACUGGGCGUAAAGGGCGCGUAGGCGGCUUUAUAAGUCGGGGGUGAAAGCCUGUGGCUCAACCACAGAAUUGCCUUCGAUACUGUAGAGCUUGAGACCGGAAGAGGUAAGUGGAACUGCGAGUGUAGAGGUGAAAUUCGUAGAUAUUCGCAAGAAUACCAGUGGCGAAGGCGGCUUACUGGUCCGGUUCUGACGCUGAGGCGCGAAAGCGUGGGGAGCAAACAGG
rnacentral:rRNA from 1 species